UACGUAGGGUGCGAGCGUUGUCCGGAAUUACUGGGCGUAAAGAGCUCGUAGGUGGUUUGUCGCGUUGUUCGUGAAAACUCACAGCUUAACUGUGGGCGUGCGGGCGAUACGGGCAGACGUGGAGUACUGCAGGGGAGACUGGAAUUCCUGGUGUAGCGGUGGAAUGCGCAGAUAUCAGGAGGAACACCGGUGGCGGAAGGCGGGUCGCUGGGCAGUUCCUGA
rnacentral:rRNA from 1 species